ensembl:ncRNA C35C5.19 ncRNA
CAACGUAAAACAGAAAAACCAGAAUGACUUUUUGACAGAGCACAACAGGAACGCUACCUGACAGUUGCGCUGAUAAAAAAGUGUGAGUAUCAAACGAGAUGGGCACCGAAAAAAUUGACACGAUGUAACAGUGGCGCCGGAACGAACAA